rnacentral:lncRNA from 1 species
AGCGUCGGUAGGGGCUUGCGUGUCUAUUAAUUGUUAUGUCCUUCAAGCAUGAAUUAAGUAACACCUUCUGGUUAUAAUGCCAGCCCGGAAUAUGAAUAUAAGGUUAGCUUCUACAAUUGAUUUGGCAGGAAUCAAAUCCGAGUUCCUCUACUGCGGAUUCGGCAGGGACCAGGCCUUCAGCGAUGAAAAGGGAGUAACAGAAGAAAAAACUCACCUUUCUUCAAGAAAUAUUCCAACUGCUCUGCAUCUGUGAACAUGCUCUGCCUUCACUCCUGUCACUGAAGAUCCUUCACUGCACAGCUCUUUACCUCUACUCAACGUGAGUCUUAAUGUCUCUUUAGUUAAUUGUAU